GAGGGGGGCGUAGAAAACAAUACUCUUCUGUUACUUCUACUAUAGCACCAACGUAAAACUCUUAUUAAAAGAAAAAAAGAAAAUUAGAGAGAAUACUUAAAGGAGCGAGGCACGUGGCAAGAGAAUAUGAGUUGGCGAUAAGGAUUAACUCACUCUCGUGAAUCUGGACUUUGAGAAUCGCGCCCAGAAUUGGAGGAGGAGGAGGAGGAUGAGGAGGGGAUCAAAAUGAUUCAAAAACCCUUUUUUGCUGCACGGUCAUUAACGUCGCGGUGCCUUAUCCCCCGUUCGGUAGUUUGUUAAUUAAAGCGCCAAUUAGCCUCAAAUUUUUAAAAAAGAUAUAAAAAAUCUUUUAACAUUUGAAACAAAAUGAAGGUGCUGCUGGCGUGGUACGACUCCCGAGCCCAAUUUCGCUCGCGCUCUCUCUCUCUCUCUCUCUCUUCGUCCGUUGCAUUGCUCGUGGCGAGAAAAGCCAAUCAAAUAUUUUUAUAUUUUUGGGUGUAUUUAUUUAUUUUAAUUGCGGUUUUGGCUGGCGGGCGAUUUCUACUGGGUGGGGGAAGCUCGCAGUGAAAAGAAAGCAGAAAAAAAAAGAGGAAAAGAUAAAAAAAAGGGUAGGAUCGAUCGAGAGCUAGAGAUGCCUCUCAGCAGCCUGUGUGAGUAAACUGAUGCCCAACAUCAUAUUCGCGACGCCUCCCUCUUCUUCUUCUUCUGCUUCUUCUGCUUCUGCUUCUCCCCUAGCUAGUAGCUAUUUGGUCCUCAUCUCUAUCUUGAUAUUUCCUGAAAAUUUCUUUAGUUUGGGUUAUUCGUGUUUCGAUUGGAGCGAGANNNNNNN
rnacentral:lncRNA from 1 species